rnacentral:rRNA from 1 species
GAUGAACGCUGGCGGCGUGCUUAACACAUGCAAGUCGAACGGAAAGGCCCUGCUUUUGUGGGGUGCUCGAGUGGCGAACGGGUGAGUAACACGUGAGUAACCUGCCCUUGACUUUGGGAUAACUUCAGGAAACUGGGGCUAAUACCGGAUAGGAGCUCCUGCUGCAUGGUGGGGGUUGGAAAGUUUCGGCGGUUGGGGAUGGACUCGCGGCUUAUCAGCUUGUUGGUGGGGUAGUGGCUUACCAAGGCGUUGACGGGUAGCCGGCCUGAGAGGGUGACCGGCCACAUUGGGACUGCGAUACGGCCCAGACUCCUACGGGAGGCAGCAGUGGGGAAUCUUGCCCAAUGGGCCGAAGCCUGAUGCAGCAACGCCGCGUGCGGGAUGACGGCCUUCGGGUUGUAAACCGCUUCCGCCUGUGACGAAGCGUGAGUGACGGUAAUGGGUAAAGAAGCACCGGCUAACUACGUG